rnacentral:rRNA from 1 species
GACGUAGGGCGCGAGCGUUGUCCGGAUUUAUUGGGCGUAAAGAGCUCGUAGGCGGUCUGUCACGUCUGCCGUGAAAACCCGAGGCUUAACCUCGUGGCUUGCGGUGGAUACGGGCAGACUAGAGGUAGGUAGGGGAGACUGGAAUUCCUGGUGUAGCGGUGAAAUGCGCAGAUAUCAGGAGGAACACCGGUGGCGAAGGCGGGUCUCUGGGCAACAACUGACGCUGAGGAGCGAAAGCGUGGGGAGCGAACAGG